rnacentral:rRNA from 1 species
UAGGGAAUCUUCCACAAUGGACGCAAGUCCGAUGGAGCAACGCUGCGUGAGUGAAGAAGGUUUUCGGAUCGUAAAGCUCUGUUGUUGGUGAAGAAGGAUAGAGGUAGUAACUGGCCUUUAUUUGACGGUAAUCAACCAGAAAGUCACGGCUAACUACGUGCCAGCAGCCGCGGUAAUACGUAGGUGGCAAGCGUUGUCCGGAUUUAUUGGGCGUAAAGCGAGCGCAGGCGGAAGAAUAAGUCUGAUGUGAAAGCCCUCGGCUUAACCGAGGAACUGCAUCGGAAACUGAUUUACUUGAGUGCAGAAGAGGAGAAUGGAAUUCCAUGUGUAGCGGUGGAAUGCGUAGAUAUAUAGAAGAACACCAGAGGCGAAGGCGACUCUCUGGUCUGCAACAGACGCAGAGGCUCGAAAGCAUGAGUAGCGAACAGG